rnacentral:rRNA from 1 species
AUUGAACGCUGGCGGCAUGCUUUACACAUGCAAGUCGAACGGUAACAGCACUUCGGUGGCUGACGAGUGGCGAACGGGUGAGUAAUACAUCGGAACGUGCCUAGUAGUGGGGGAUAACUACUCGAAAGAGUAGCUAAUACCGCAUGAGAUCUAAGGAUGAAAGCAGGGGACCUUCGGGCCUUGCGCUGCUAGAGCGGCUGAUGGCAGAUUAGGUAGUUGGUGGGAUAAAAGCUUACCAAGCCGACGAUCUGUAGCUGGUCUGAGAGGACGACCAGCCACACUGGGACUGAGACACGGCCCAGACUCCUACGGGAGGCAGCAGUGGGGAAUUUUGGACAAUGGGCGCAAGCCUGAUCCAGCAAUGCCGCGUGCAGGAUGAAGGCCUUCGGGUUGUAAACUGCUUUUGUACGGAACGAAAAGCCCUCUUCUAAUACAGGAGGGUCAUGACGGUACCGUAAGAAUAAGCACCGGCUAACUACGUG